rnacentral:lncRNA from 7 species
AGCAGAAAUUUUAGUGUUCAUGUGUGAAAUGGUACUGUUUAGGCCUGAUGGAUGCUUAGAAAAAGGCAAACACAGCUGAGUUAGCAGCAUCUCUCUUAUCUAUUGAAGUGAAGUCAAGAAAAAAUUGGCAAGGACUUGAUUUCUGGGGAGGUGCCCUACAACCCCUACUCACUGUUUGAGAAGAGGAAUUUGAUAUAAUGUAAUUGUGUAGCCUAAGAUGGAAUAUAGAAGAACCAUAAAAAACAAAACAAAAAAUCAUGCAAAACUGAAAUGGAAGAAUCGUCUUUCUCGAUCAUAUAUAUAAAUUCUACAUGAGCAUAAGGAAGGCAAACAAAUCGUCUUCAAACGAUGACAGAGAGAUGCCCUUCAGAAAAAAAAUCGUGGUUAAAAUUCCUUGUUAAUCCCUGAGCAGCAAAUUGUUUGAGAUAUCUGACAGUCAUUCUCGUCUCUUCAUACUCUUCUGUACUGGAAAAACAGUUGUUCUGGAGACUGCAGUGCCAAGGCCUGUCUAGUAAUCUGUGCAGUAACAGGGAAAAUGAAUUAUUAAACUGCUUUCUUUCUUUUAGUAAACAAAUACUCAAAUGAACACUUCACCUCUUUCUUAUUUAUUUCCAUCCUCCUUCUCUCCAUUGGAUUGUGAAGUAUGGCUUGGAUCACAAGAUCACAGUGCAAUGUUCCUUGCAUGGCGUUCAGGGUGUAUGAAGGAGAAAAGGGAAGUGAAGCACAUGAUUCAAUUGCAAGUCACUAGACAUAAGGCUGCCGUUAGGUGCUGUGAUGCAGCAGCAGUUAAACUAGUCAUUCGUGAAAGAAAGGGCUAUGUGUUUGUGGUGGCAUGGCACAGAAGGCUGAGGAUAGAGUAAAAAACAGCAGCUAGCAUAAAAUUCUUCCUUUCAGAAGAUAAUCAUGCUGUGGCUCCUCAAUGAGUUUCAAACUGUUGCCUACUGUGUUGUCCGCUGUUGUUGUAUGGUUCUUAGGAGAGGAGUUAAAGAACGCUUCAGAUAGGUAGAGGCAAGGGAGAUGCUUUGGGGAAGAGUUUUGGCAGGAAUUUUUCCUUUGUUUUUUGUUCUCUUGGCCAAAAUAAGUGUUCAGGGCUUUCUUUAAACCUGAAUUGGAGAAGUAUUUUAGUGUGUGCAUAUGUGUGUGUCAGUUCUUGCAGUUUUUGAGUAAUAAAAUUCCGGUUUAAUCC